rnacentral:rRNA from 1 species
GAAGUUGGAGUCGCUAGUAAUCGCAGAUCAGCAACGCUGCGGUGAAUACGUUCCCGGGCCUUGUACACACCGCCCGUCACGUCAUGAAAGUCGGUAACACCCGAAGCCGGUGGCCUAACCCCUUGUGGGAGGGAGCUGUCGAAGGUGGGAUCGGCGAUUGGGACGAAGUCGUAACAAGGUAGCCGUACCGGAAGGUGCGGCUGGAUCACCUCCUUU